rnacentral:rRNA from 1 species
UACGAAGGGGGCUAGCGUUGCUCGGAAUCACUGGGCGUAAAGCGCACGUAGGCGGAUUGUUAAGUCAGGGGUGAAAUCCUGGAGCUCAACUCCAGAACUGCCUUCGAUACUGGAGAGCUCGAGUCCGGGAGAGGUGAGUGGAACUGCGAGUGUAGAGGUGAAAUUCGUAGAUAUUCGCAAGAACACCAGUGGCGAAGGCGGCUCACUGGCCCGAUACUGACCGCUGAGGCACGAAAGCGUGGGGAGCAAACAGG